GAUGUGGAGUGAAAUAUAGUAACGAAGCCCGUGAGCCAUGCGUCAAGAAAAGCCGCUAUUGUUUAUACUGUACCCGUACCGUAAACCGACACAGGUGGAUGAGGAGAGAAUCCUAAGGCCGGCGGAAGAAGUAUUGCCAAGGAACUCGGCAAAAUGGCCCCGUAACUUAGGGAGAAGGGGUGCCUGCGAGAGCAGGCCGCAGAGAAUAGGCUCAAGCAACUGUUUAGCAAAAACACAGGUCUAUGCGAAACCGAAAGGUGAGGUAUAUGGGCUGACGCCUGCCCGGUGCUGGAAGGUUAAGAGGAGAGGUUAGACGCAAGUCGAAGCUUUGAAUUUAAGCCCCAGUAAACGGCGGCCGUAACAAUAACGGUCCUAAGGUAGCGAAAUUCCUUGUCGGGUAAGUUCCGACCCGCACGAAAGGCGUAAUGAUUUGAGCGCUGUCUCGGCAAUACAUCCGGUGAAAUUGAAGUGCCAGUGAAGAUGCUGGCUACCCGCGCCAGGACGGAAAGACCCCAUGGAGCUUUACUCCAGUUUGGCACUGGGGUCCGGUGUUGCAUGUACAGGAUAGGUGGGAGGCUGAGAGAUAGUGACGUCAGUUGCUAUGGAGCCGCUGUUGGGAUACCACCCUUGUGAUAUUGGGCUUCUAACCAGCCGCCGUGAACCGGCGGUGGGACAAUGCCAGGCGGGGAGUUUGACUGGGGCGGUCGCCUCCGAAAGGGUAUCGGAGGCGCCCAAAGGUUCCCUCUGAAUGGACGGAAACCAUUCGAAGAGUGCAAAGGCAGAAGGGAGCUUGACUGCGACACCGACGGGUGGAGCAGGUACGAAAGUAGGGCUUAGUGAUCCGGUGGUAUUAAGUGGGAAUGCCAUCGCUCAACGGAUAAAAGCUACCCUGGGAUAACAGGCUUAUCACUCCCAAGAGUUCACAUCGACGGAGUGGUUUGGCACCUCGAUGUCGGCUCAUCGCAUCCUGGGGCUGUAGUAGGUCCCAAGGGUUGGGCUGUUCGCCCAUUAAAGCGGUACGCGAGCUGGGUUCAGAACGUCGUGAGACAGUUCGGUCCCUAUCCGGCGUGGGCGCAGGAUAUCUGAGAGGAGCUGUCCUUAGUACGAGAGGACCGGGAUGGACGGACCGCUGGUGGACCGGUUGGCUUGCCAAAGCCAUGGCCGGGUAGCCAAGUCCGGAAGGGAUAAACGCUGAAGGCAUCUAAGCGUGAAGCCCCCCUCAAGAUGAGAUAUCCCAUUCUUUAAGAAGUAAACCCCCUUGAAGACGACGAGGUAGAUAGGGCAGAGGUGGAAGUGUGGUAACACAUGGAGCUGACUGUUACUAAUCGGGUGAGGGCUUGACC
rnacentral:rRNA from 1 species